rnacentral:rRNA from 1 species
GACGGAGGGUGCGAGCGUUAUUCGGAAUUAUUGGGCGUAAAGAGCGUGUAGGCGGCCGGCCAAGUCAGAUGUGAAAGCCCAGGGCUUAACCCUGGAAGUGCAUUUGAAACUGGUUGGCUUGAGUUCGGGAGAGGGAAGUGGAAUUCCGGGUGUAGAGGUGAAAUUCGUAGAUAUCCGGAGGAACACCGGUGGCGAAGGCGACUUCCUGGACCGAAACUGACGCUGAGACGCGAAAGCGUGGGGAGCAAACAGG